rnacentral:rRNA from 1 species
AACGAACGCUGGCGGCAUGCCUAACACAUGCAAGUCGAACGACACCUUCGGGUCUAGUGGCGCACGGGUGCGUAACGCGUGGGAACCUGCCCUUAGGCUCGGAAUAACUCCCCUAAAGGGGUGCUAAUACCGGAUAAUGUCCUCGGACCAAAGAUUUAUCGCCCUUGGAGGGGCCCGCGUUGGAUUAGCCAGUUGGUAGGGUAAAAGCCUACCAAGGCUACGAUCCAUAGCUGGUCUGAGAGAAUGAUCAGCCACACUGGGACUGGGACACGGCCCAGAAUCCUACGGGAGGCAGCAGUGGGGGAUAUUGGACAAUGGGCGGAAGCCUGAUCCAGCAAUGCCGCGUGAGUGAUGAAGGCCUUAGAGUUGUAAAGCUCUUUUACCCGGGGUGAUAAUGACAGUACCGGGAGAAUAAGCUCCGGCUAACUCCGUG